AGAGUACUACACCGAGGCUCCUCAACACUACACCACCAAGGCACAGGAGUUCUACACCACUACAUAUCAUGGUCGUAUGAAAGGAGAGAAAAGAUGAAAGAUUUCAGCAGCCGAUUGAGCAUCUCCGUUACGGCAACAGGAACUGCCGUGCACUAUUUGUCAUCAACUUCAUUCUUCGUCGGAUUAAAAGUUUUAAAUAAAGUAAACUAUGGCGUCGUGCUGCUGUUGUUGGGUGUUGUAUCGUUGAUGGCUAGGUCUACCAAUAGUGUACCGAUGUCUCCUGGGUAUGGCGGGUACCAAAGCACAACACUGCCGUGCCGUCUUACUAUUAAGGAUCAACUUCCGCUGCUCCAGCUUACUACACUGAGGCUCUCAAGUGCUACUCCAUCAAGGCUCCAGAUUAUUACACCACAGCUCAUGUUGCCUCAAGCUACUACGCUGAAUGCCCGAAGUAUUUGUCUUCCCCGAGCUACACUACCAAAGGGUCGAGAACUACGUCUAGGCUCACAAGUACUACAUCACCAAGGCACCGGAGUACAAAAACGGUCGAAUACUACACAGAAGUGAUCAUGGUGAUGGCUGGUUCGACCACUGGUGUGACGACUUCUCUUGGGUAUGAUGGGCGUGAACAUUCCGCAACAACCGGUUACUACACUGAGGCCCUCAAGUGCUACACCACCAAGGCUCCAAAACAUUACACCAUAACUUAUGCUCCCCGAUGUAACUACGCAGAAGCUCCGAAAUAUUUGUCUACCAACCUACGAUGUUCCAGCUAGCUAUAAAAAUUCUGCCAUGUACUAUUCUGUUCCCAGCUACUACACCGAGGAUUGUCACACCACUGAAGCGUCCAUGUACUGCACUACAACCUACGUUGCUCCAGCUUACACCACGAAGGCAGCGGAGUACUACACCACGAAGGCAGCGGAGUACUACACCACGAAGGCAGCGGAGUACUACACCACGAAGGCAGCGGAGUACUACAC